AAGAGCUACAGCCAUGAGAAACUGCUGAUGGAGUGUUUUCGAAAAGUACUCCGGCGUCACUGUCACACGUCUCCAUCCAUUAGUCCGGCAGGGAGAGGGGAAAUGAUGCUGGCCAUCAUUGUGUGUCGGCAGAGCCUGAGAGAGAUUGCGGGGUCGGAGGAGGUGUUAGGGAGCCUCGCGGUGCUGCCGUAGAGGAAAGCGUCGGCUCCACGGGGCUUCCCUCCUCCCUCCCCGCCGGGCCGUGAUAGGCUGGAUGGCAGGAGGGCCGCAGUUGUGGGGGAGGGUAUAGCGGCUGUGCCGGGCUCCCUUCUGCCCUCUCGCUGACAGGAUCUGGUCAGUGUCCUGCUGCUGAGGGUCACGGCCCAGCUUACGAACACAAACUUAUCUUCCGUACAUCUGCCGGGCCGCCUGCGCAGUCAGUCUGUCUCCACUGCAGGCUGCGCUCUCUUUCCUGGUUGGGGGAUGCUUUGGUCGAGGAGAGCGACAGAGAGAGGGCCAGCGGGAAGGGGGGACAGAGUGGGAAACCGAGGAUCUGGACCCUGCCAAGACGCUGAGCUACAUGGAAAACACGAGCUGCCUCCAGGAUGGAGAUGACCUUUGAGUGACCAAUGGUGAAGCUCAACCCGGGCCCUUUCGCAGAGCAAGGGAAUGCUGGCUGCGUCUGCCCAGGAGAAAAUGACAACUUCAUUAGAAGGGCUUGGAUAGAGGAGAGUGGGAAAACAAAUGACUGCGAGCGGUGUUGAUGGAGUGCAGUGAGGCUAACUCUGAGGAGUUCUACCUGCCAAAACCUUGUCUGCCUAACCUUAACCCAGACGAGAGAAUUAGUAGAUGAUGUAUGGGUGAGAGCGUGCUAUCUGAUGGGAGGAGCGCUUAUGAGAGGCAUGAUUUGGGUCCCUUCUUUUUUAGGAAUCAGUUUUGGUUCAAAGUGCUGGUUUUUCAGUAAGCCUUUGGCACAUGACACAUGUUCAUUGUUUUUAUCCAUGUUUUUAAUUUAAAAAAAGAAUACAUUUCUAUUAAAUUUUCUGUUAAAUUAUUAUUAAAAACGGUUGUGAAUGACUGAAUGAAGGAUAUAUAUAUAUAUAUUUAUUUAUUUUGUAAAAGAAUUUUAAGAAAAGACAUCAC